CCUACGGGUGGCAGCAGUGAGGAAUAUUGGUCAAUGGGCGGAAGCCUGAACCAGCCAAGUCGCGUGAGGGAAGACGGUCCUAUGGAUUGUAAACCUCUUUAGUCGGGGAGCAAUGCCGGGCACGUGUGCCCGGAUGGAGAGUACCUGCAGAAUAAGCAUCGGCUAACUCGGUGCCAGCAGCCGCGGUAAUACGGAGGAUGCGAGCGUUAUCCGGAUUUAUUGGGUUUAAAGGGUGCGUAGGCGGACUGUUAAGUCAGCGUGAAAAUCCCGGGCCUCAACCCGGGGCGGCCGUUGAUACUGGCGAUCUUGAGUGGGCGAGAGGUAUGCGGAAUGCGUGGUGUAGCGGUGAAAUGCAUAGAGAUCACGCAGAACACCGAUUGCGAAGGCAGCAUACCGGCGCCCGACUGACGCUGAGGCACGAAAGCGUGGGGAGCAAACAGGAUUAGAUACCCUGGUAGUC
rnacentral:rRNA from 1 species